GCUGGAUAGCUUCAUUGGUUAGAGCAUGGUGCUGAUAACACCAAGGUUGCAGGUUCGAUCCCCAUGUGGGGCA